GGGAUUACGAGACUUCAUACUCUCUAUGGAUAUCAUAGAUUAAUUUACGAUAUUUUAUAAAACGUCAAAAUGGCGAGCAUUUGAAUUUGUGAACAACAAAUUUUUGUAAAAAUAAUAAAAUGAGUGUGAACCCCAAACCACAAAAUUCGACACCACAAAUGCCGAUGGGGACAAGAAAUUUCUUACAAAAGCUAAUACAGAAGGAGACAGCAUCAGUUGAUAUGACAAGGCAUGGAUUUAUUCGUGAAAGUCAUCCAAUCCGAUUGUUUCUAAAGCCAUUGAGAACACAGAUCCAGAAAAUACACGGCAAGGCUGAAACCGUUGAACGAAAUAAAUUCACAAAGGACAAAACAACUACCGAUACAUCAACCGCCGAUAAAUCUACCCCGAUUAUUUGUAAAUUCAUUGAGGAGAAAAAAUUAGUGGAUAAAAAGAAAAAACGUAAACUAAAAUUUUCUACAAAGCUUUAAUGAAAAAAGAUAUAUAAUAUUUAGAACGCAUUUUUUGGUGUUUUUAAUAUUAUCUUAACUUUGUAUGGAAGUAAACGAAAUGACGUACUCACAUCGUUUAAAUAUUGCAGUUAAUUUACCAAAUGUAUGGAAAUUAACUUUGGAAAAAUCGUAUCCACGUAAAUUUAAUAGUUUGUGUUAAUGACAAUUGACACAUGCUAUGUCAUGUGUCAAAAAUAAAAAUAAUUACAUUUA